AUUGAACGCUGGCGGCAUGCCUUACACAUGCAAGUCGAACGGUAACAGGUCUUCGGAUGCUGACGAGUGGCGAACGGGUGAGUAAUACAUCGGAACGUGCCCGAUCGUGGGGGAUAACGGAGCGAAAGCUUUGCUAAUACCGCAUACGAUCUACGGAUGAAAGCAGGGGACCGCAAGGCCUUGCGCGGACGGAGCGGCCGAUGGCAGAUUAGGUAGUUGGUGGGAUAAAAGCUUACCAAGCCGACGAUCUGUAGCUGGUCUGAGAGGACGACCAGCCACACUGGGACUGAGACACGGCCCAGACUCCUACGGGAGGCAGCAGUGGGGAAUUUUAGACAAUGGGCGAAAGCCUGAUCCAGCCAUGCCGCGUGCAGGAUGAAGGCCUUCGGGUUGUAAACUGCUUUUGUACGGAACGAAAAGACUCUUUCUAAUAAAGAGGGUCCAUGACGGUACCGUAAGAAUAAGCACCGGCUAACUACGUG
rnacentral:rRNA from 1 species